GUGUCAGCAGCCGCGGUAAUACGGAGGGUGCAAGCGUUAUCCGGAUUCACUGGGUUUAAAGGGUGCGUAGGUGGGCAGUUAAGUCAGUGGUGAAAUCUCCGGGCUCAACCCGGAAACUGCCAUUGAUACUAUCUGUCUUGAAUAUCGUGGAGGUAAGCGGAAUAUGUCAUGUAGCGGUGAAAUGCUUAGAUAUGACAUAGAACACCAAUUGCGAAGGCAGCUUACUACCCGAAUAUUGACACUGAGGCACGAAAGCGUGGGGAUCAAACAGGAUUAGAAACCCCCGUAGUCC
rnacentral:rRNA from 1 species